rnacentral:rRNA from 1 species
UACGUAGGGGGCAAGCGUUGUCCGGAUUUAUUGGGCGUAGAGCGCGUGUAGGCGGCCAGAUAGGUCUGCUGUGAAAACUCGAGGCUCAACCUCGAGCUGUCGGCGGAAACCAUCUGGCUAGAGUCCGGAAGAGGAGAGUGGAAUUCCUGGUGUAGCGGUGAAAUGCGCAGAUAUCAGGAAGAACACCUAUGGCGAAGGCAGCUCUCUGGGACGGUACUGACGCUGAGACGCGAAAGCGUGGGGAGCGAACAGG